GCACGUUAUGGUGGACACUCUAAGGAGACUGCCGGUGACAAACCGGAGGAAGGUGGGGAUGACGUCAAGUCAUCAUGGCCCUUACGGCCUGGGCUACACACGUGCUACAAUGGUCGGUACAAAGGGUUGCCAAGCCGCGAGGUGGAGCUAAUCCCAUAAAACCGAUCGUAGUCCGGAUCGCAGUCUGCAACUCGACUGCGUGAAGUCGGAAUCGCUAGUAAUCGUGAAUCAGAAUGUCACGGUGAAUACGUUCCCGGGCCUU
rnacentral:rRNA from 1 species